UACGUAGGGUGCAAGCGUUGUCCGGAAUUAUUGGGCGUAAAGAGCUCGUAGGCGGUCUGUCGCGUCGGCUGUGAAAACCCGGGGCUCAACCCCGGGCCUGCAGUCGAUACGGGCAGACUAGAGUGCGGUAGGGGAGACUGGAAUUCCUGGUGUAGCGGUGAAAUGCGCAGAUAUCAGGAGGAACACCGGUGGCGAAGGCGGGUCUCUGGGCCGUAACUGACGCUGAGGAGCGAAAGCGUGGGGGAGCGAACAGGAU
rnacentral:rRNA from 1 species